rnacentral:rRNA from 1 species
ACGGCUCAGUAACACGUAGUUAACCUAACCUAUGGAUGGGGAUAACCUCGGGAAACUGAGAAUAAUCCCCGAUAGAUCACAAUGCCUGGAAUGGUUUGUGAUUCAAAUGAUUUAUCGCCAUAGGAUGGGACUGCGGCCUAUCAGCUAGUUGGUGAGGUAAUGGCCCACCAAGGCUAUAACAGGUACGGGCUCUGAGAGGAGGGGCCCGGAGAUGGGUACUGAGACACGGACCCAGGCCCUAUGGGGCGCAGCAGGCGAGAAACCUUUGCAAUGUGCGAAAGCACGACAAGGUUAAUCCGAGUGUCUUCUGCUAAAGAAGUCUUUUGUUAGUCAUAGAACCACUGAUGAAUAAGGGGUGGGCAAGUUCUGGUGUCAGCCGCCGCGGUAAAACCAGCACCUCGAGUGGUCAGGAGGUUUAUUGGGCCUAAAGCAUCCGUAGCCGGUUGUUUAAGUUUUCGGUUAAAUCUAUGCGCUUAACGUAUAGGCUGCCGAAAAUACUGGACAGCUAGGGAGUGGGAGAGGUACACGGUACUCAAUAGGAAGGGGUAAAAUCCUUUGAUCUGUUGAUGACCACCUGUGGCGAAGGCGGUGUACCAGAACACGUUCGACGGUGAGGGAUGAAAGCUGGGGGAGCAAACCGGAUUAGAUACCCGGGUAGUCCCAGCUGUAAACGAUGCAAACUCGGUGAUGCAUUGGCUUGUGGCCAAUGCAGUGCCGCAGGGAAGCCGUUAAGUUUGCCGCCUGGGAAGUACGUACGCAAGUAUGAAACUUAAAGGAAUUGGCGGGGGAGCAC